AAACAAUGCCACCACAUAUUGAUCUUUUCUGCUAACAAUGGCUUUAGUACAAUAUUCCUUUCGAGCCUCAAUUAUCUGUUGGUGAAACAAGAACAAGCAUGUCAAAUUCAAUUUCCUACAUAUGCUUUAAAAGCAGAUUUGAGUGCCAACCUAUCGCACCCUUACCGACUGGCUUCAAGGUUAGUAUAUGUCUCUUAGUAUUUAUGAGAAGAUCAAGGUUAAAGAUGACAGGACAUAUGUCUUCUGAUAAUCAAAAGUGAAAUGGUGUGGAUAGCCGGUGUAUAUUUAAUCAUUGAUAGCCCUAGCUUACUUUAAGAAGGAGGGAUGUAUACAAUGUAUUUAUGAUAACACAUUGCAUUUAUGUUUGUCAAUUGGAUGGAUUCUCUUUAUUUUAGGGUGAAAACAUUCUUAGUUACAAGUGCAAUAUAUAUUAUUAUUCUUGCCCUCGUUAAAUAUGUGACUGCAAAUUUAUUAUUUCUGUAGUAACGCAUUGAUCAGAUCAUAAAAUAGUUUGAGCUUAAUAAAAUUAAGUCUAGUUUCUUGUAGAUUUGAAUGUUCCUACAUGGGGCUGUCUAUCCAUAAAAUUAGUUAAGGUACUCAGUGACGUUCUCAGCUACAGGGAUAUUCUGUGUACUCACUCCUAAAGCACUUAAAAUGCUAAUACAGAUAUAAUGAUUUGCACAUGUACAUUGAUAUAUCUAUAAAAGUAGGGGUAUAGAUAACAGGAACAAAGGAAGAACAGUAG